rnacentral:ncRNA from 12 species
GGCGUAGCUCAGUCGGAAGAGCGCUCGGCUUUUAACCGUGUGGUCGCGGGUUCAAUCCCCGCCGCC